GAAAAUAUCAAUAAAUAGAUUGUGAUUCAGCUAUCUCCCAGUGGAAUUUUAAGUGAGUUAUUAUGACAAUAGUAUGGUGAGUAGCACAGUGUCUAGUUGCGAGGUGAGCGUCAGCUACGGAGAGUGAGGGCUCUGGUCCAGGCUGCAGGCUGUGGGCUGCAAAUUGCUGGAGGUUGAGCAUCCUGUGAGCAGUGGCUGAGUGUUGACCUGGCUCCAGAUCCAUCGCUGCGAUCAGCUGCUUUGUGCUCUGCCGAGAGUCACUUCGACCUGUCGGAAGGAGGCAUCUAUUGUAAAUUGUGCUAGAAUGUGAUAUUUCUUGCUGAUGUUAAACAACGUGGGGUGCACUGUCUCAGGGAGCCAGCCACCAUGGCCUGCAGUUCUGGGCCCUUCCACGUGGGACCAGAAGCUCCCUGGGAGAACGGGAUCCUCUGGCAGUAGGUGCUUUUGAAAUCCAGGUAAUUGAAGAGCUUCACAAGGUUUGGAAGGGACAAGAAUCUGGUCAUGUGGCUGGACCCAAGGGGAGUUUGAACUUGUCCAGUUCCAGGAUAAACUUGAACUUUGGCCUCCAUCCCUCGUGUUUUCUUCCUAAACUCGUUCUAUCUCAGAACCCUUUUGGACAAAGUCUCCUUCAGACCAUUUUCCCCAUUGAAAGCCUGUGUUGCAUCUUCAUUGUUGUUGUUAGUGCCAUUGAGUCAAUUCCAACUUCUAGUGACCCUGCGGACAGCAGAGUGGAACCCUGCCUGAUCUUUUUCUGCCAUCCUUUCACCGUCUGGUCCUCUAUCAGAAUACACCACAAGGACCAUUUGACUGUCCCCUCUGGCUUCUGCAUCUUGCUUCCAGCAUGAACAGACAGCAGGGGGAGUCAUGGAACAAAGACAGAGUUCCGAAAGGCCUGAAACUCCAUUCACUUUCAUCUGUUGAAUUCCUGACCACCAAUGAGUCAUGGAGGUGCACGUCUUGUUCAUUCUUUCAUCCUUAGAUGAGGAGCCGCUGAAUAAUACUAUUUCCUCCUAUGUUGUUCACAUUAGGAAGGUUCUAGUUGUUGGUGGACUUUAAUAUCUGAAAAAUAAAGGAAUACUGUUGAAAACA
rnacentral:lncRNA from 1 species